rnacentral:tRNA from 1 species
GUUGGUGUGGCAGAGCUCGGAUAACGCAAAAGACCUAAGCCCUUUUAACAGAGGUUCAAAUCCUCUCCCCAACU